UACGGGGGGGGUAAGCGUUGUUCGGAAUUACUGGGCGUAAAGGGCUCGUAGGCGGCCAACUAAGUCAGACGUGAAAUCCCUCAGCUUAACUGGGGAACUGCGUCUGAUACUGGGUGGCUUGAGUGCAGGAGAGGAAUGCGGAAUUCCAGGUGUAGCGGUGAAAUGCGUAGAUAUCUGGAGGAACACCGGUGGCGAAGGCGGCGUUCUGGACUGUAUCUGACACUGAUAGACGAAAGCCAGGGGAGCAAACGGG
rnacentral:rRNA from 1 species